GUGCUUUCUACGGCAGCACAUACACUAAAAUUGGAAUGAUACAGAGAAGAGUAGCACAGCCCCUAUGCAAGGAUGACAUGCAAAUUCAUGAAGUGUUCCAUAUUUUU
ensembl:snRNA U6 U6 spliceosomal RNA